AUCAACGCUGGCGGCGUGCCUAACACAUGCAAGUCGAACGAAGAAAGUGGAGCAAUCCAUGAGUAAAGUGGGCGACCGGGUGAGUAACACGUGGACUAACCCUACCUCCGAGUGGGGAAUAACUCCGGGAAACCGGGGCUAAUACCGCAUAACAUCGCAAGAUCAAAGCAGCAAUGCGCUGGGAGAGGGGGGGUCGCGGGCCUGAUUAGCUAGUUGGCGGGGUAACGGCCCACCAAGGGCGAAGAUCGGUAUCCGGCCUGAGAGGGCGCACGGACACACUGGAACUGAAACACGGUCCAGACUCCUACGGAGGCAGCAGUGGGGAUUUUUGCCCAAUGGGGGAAACCCUGACGCAGCAACGCCGCGUGGAGGAUGAAGCCCUUUGGUGGCGUAAACCUCCUUUCGACCAAGACGAUAAUGACGGUACUGGUGGAAGAAGCACCGGCUAACUCUGUGCCAGCAGCCGCGGUAAUACAGAGGGUGCGAGCGUUGUUCGGAAUAUAUGGGCGUAAAGGGCGCGUAGGCGGUGCGGUACGUCACCUGUUGAAAUCUCCGGCUUAACUGGGAGCCUGCAGGCGAAACUACCGUGCUGGAGGUGUGGGAGAGGUGCGUGGAAUUCCCGGUGUGUAGCGGUGAAAUGCGUAGAUAUCGGGAGGAACACCUGUGGCGAAAGCGGCGCACUGGAACCAUAACUGACGCUGAAGGCGCGAAAGCUAGGGGAGCAAACAGGAUUAGGAUACCCUGGUAGUCCUAGCCUAAACGAUGAUUGCUUGGUGUAGCAGGUACCCAAUCCUGCUGUGCCGCAGCUAACGCGAUAAGCAAUCCGCCUGGGGAGUACGGUCGCAAGGCUGAAACUCAAAGGAAUUGACGGGGGGCCCGCACAAGCGGUGGAGGCAGUGUGGUUCAAUUCUAGACGCAACGCGAAAGAACCUUACCUGGGCUCGAAAUGCAGGAGACCGGGGUGGAAACAUCCCUUCCCCUUAAAAGGCUGCUGCAUAGGUGCUUGGCAUGGCUGUCGUCAGCGUCGGUGUCGAUGAGAUGUUGGUUCAGUCCCGCAACGAGCGCAGAACCCUUAUCCCCUAGUUGCCAUCGGGUCAAGCCGGGCACUCUAGUGAAACUGCCUCGGAUUAACGAGGAGGAAGGUUGGGGAUGACGUCAAGUCCUCCAUGCCUUUAUGUCCAGGCUACACACGUGCUACAAUGGUCGGUACAAACCGUCGCAAACCCGUGAGGGGGAGCUAAUUGGAAAAAGCCGGCCUCAGUUCGGAUUGGAGUCUGCAACUCGACUCCAUGAAGCUGGAAUCGCUAGUAAUCGCGGAUCAGAACGCCGCGGUGAAUACGUUCCUCCGGGCCUUGUACACAACCAGCCCGUCACAUCACGAAAGUGGGGCCGUACUAGAAGCAGGUGUGCUAACCGCAAGGAGGCAGCCUUCCAAGGGUACAGCUCAUGAUUGGGGUG
rnacentral:rRNA from 1 species